rnacentral:rRNA from 1 species
ACGCGAAGAACCUUACCCAGGCUUGAACAGCGAGUGACCACUCACGAAAGUGAGCUUCCGCAAGGACACUCGUAGAGGUGCUGCAUGGCUGUCGUCAGCUCGUGUCGUGAGAUGUUGGGUUAAGUCCCGCAACGAGCGCAACCCUUGUCUGCUGUUGCCAUCAGGUUAUGCUGGGCACUCUGCAGAGACUGCCGGUGAUAAACCGGAGGAAGGUGGGGAUGACGUCAAGUCAGCAUGGCCUUUAUGUCUGGGGCUACACACGUGCUACAAUGGCAGAUACAAACCGUCGCGAGACCGCAAGGUGGAGCUAAUCGGAGAAAGUCUGUCUCAGUUCGGAUAGCAGGCUGCAACUCGCCUGCUUGAAGUUGGAAUCGCUAGUAAUCGCGGAUCAGCACGCCGCGGUGAAUACGUUCCCGGGCCUUGUA